UACGUAGGGUGCGAGCGUUAAUCGGAAUUACUGGGCGUAAAGCGUGCGCAGGCGGUUCGUUGUGUCGGCGGGGAAAGCCCCGGGCUUAACCUGGGAAUGGCCGUCGAAACUGGCGAACUGGAGUGUGGCAGAGGGGGGUGGAAUUCCGCGUGUAGCAGUGAAAUGCGUAGAGAUGCGGAGGAACACCGAUGGCGAAGGCAGCCCCCUGGGAUAACACUGACGCUCAGGCACGAAAGCGUGGGGAGCAAACAGG
rnacentral:rRNA from 1 species